AAUAAACAGGCCUGUUGUAAUUGUUAAUAUAUUAGCUUCUCUUCAGUGAGUAAAAUAAGCAUAUAUACCAAGUACUCUGAAGGAAAUCUAUGAAGGCUAAGAAAGACUAAGAGUAAGGAGAAGCCCUCUGUUUAGAAUGGUUAAGUAAGACCUCUCUGAGAAAAUAAGCAGAGAAAACAAAAGAGCCAGCUGUGUGAAGAGUUACAGGCCAACAUGAUAUUAUUUGUAAAGAUCCUGAAUUUAGAGACAAGUAUGCUCUAGGUACUGAAGGAAGAACAGGCACUUACCACACACAAUUUGUACUUUCUUCAUUUCCUCAUUUUCUACUGUCUCCUUCCCUAGAAAAUUUGUUCUCUAAGGACAGGGAAAUACUCUGAUUUUUUCCCUUACUGUACCCUUCACAUCUGUCACAGUGCUUUGCACAGAAUUGGCUUUUAUAAAAUGUUUAAAAAAGCAUAGAAGUACCUAUUGCUUGAUUCAUAACUGCCAGUCCCUUGUGGAAAAGCACUGACUUUUCUCCUCCCUUCAGACAAUAAGCUAGUAAGUUGCAUAGAAUAUCAUUUUUUAAAGGAUAUUUAAAAAUGGAACACAUUUUGUCAAAUAUUUCAAAUAAUAAGUUCUAAGAUAUUAUAAAUUUUAUAUUUGAACUAAUAGUUUUACAAAAUAAGAAGUUCACAGAAAAUUACAGCAGUUGGUUUAACUUUUAUAUCUCUAACUAUUAGGUUCAUCCUAUCUAAGGGGAUGGUAUGGAUUCAAUGCUACCUGGAAUGGUCCUGCUAUACAACCUGUUGUUUCUAUGUCCAAUCUUAUUUC
rnacentral:lncRNA from 1 species